AGUGCCCACUGCGCACGCUCCACCCCGGAAACCACGAGCCCAUUGCUGAUGACAAAAGGCUGCCACCAGCGAAGUCGAGUUGUGUUGGUGAGGGCCCCCUCAGGCAGGAGGAUGUAGUCGUGCCUCACAGAAAUGUAUUUCUGGAAAUCCAUCUCGUGAAGCAAGGUCCAAGUGAUUCCUAUAAAAACCCAAAUUUAUCAGCUCCCUAGCACCAGGACGGCAACUCACAAACCAGCAGCAAUUGUGUUUCACAGCUGAUGUUGGUACUGAACGAACAUAGGUCUUGAACUAGAAAUUAUGUGACCUGUGUCUUGUUGGGAACUUUGAGCAGAGCGAUGCCAAGUAUCAGCAUGGAAGGUGUCACCCUUGAGAGUUCCUGGUUUCUUCUGCUUCAUGUCCACAACUGUGUGCCACAAUUACCUUGCAUGUGAUAAAUCCAGGUCCCGUGUUACUAGCAUGCGCAAGCCGUCCUCAUUGAAGAAGAGGUUGUUCCCACUGGAAAGGAUGCCACACUUACGAGACGGCUUCCCACCGCUCAUCACUUUUACGUCUGUCUUUUGGACUGAUGCGUUCUUCAUGACCCUGGCACUCCAUGCAUAUGACUGAAUUUGCUAAACCAUUCCUGGUCCAAUCUGAUGAAUCCUUAUCUGCAUACCUGUCCCCCAGCAGUUGGAACAGCACUCUACUGCUCCUUUGUCACCUUGGCCUUCAUAUUUGUCACAAAUCAUAUCAUUGUGUAGAACCAGUUUUCUUGUUGCACCAUCAUAUAAGUCUUCUAAGGUCACUGAGAGCUGAUGUACAACAUUUUACCUCUCCUUUCUCUUUGCAUUCUUCUUCUUCCUCCAAAGGACAUAUCAGAGAUAUCCACAGCCGGAGAGCAGAAAGAGGAGUGUCGCACAGUGCAGCUCUGCCAGACGCUGCUCCUCCACCAACCACUGAGCCUUCUGGAAAGUUUUCUGCAUUAUAUUUUCAAAGAAGUAUGACGGGAUGUGUCAUGUAGUUUUAAAAUGUAAAGCCAUAAACAUUAAAAGUGCAUUUUGAGAUAAAA